UUCUCUCUUAUUAACACACUCUCUGAGACUUGACACUUUUUCACUCUGAUAUCUAUACUGAUCUAAAUCUUCAAUGCUCUUCGUAGAACGAGACACGACCCGAAUAUGCUCCACUUUACACUCUUCGACUUUAUGAAAAUAACGAGACAGGACCCUAACUUUACACUCUUGUUCAACUUCAAUCUUUCUAAGAUGAUUUCCC
rnacentral:lncRNA from 1 species